AUAUAUAUAUAUACACACACACACACACACAUGUACAGCGGUGUGUGUGUGUGAGUGUAUAUAUAUAUAU